UCGCGCGCUUGCAAUGGCGGGCGGCGCCGCUGCUCCUCCUCCAGCGCAGCAGGGCCGCAUUCUUUCCCUCGUCCAGGGAUGCGCCAGGGAUCAGUCUUUCGGAGGUAUAGCAGGAUUUCUUCUUUCCAGUGCUGGAAAUCGAAGUCCAUGGAGAGGGGCAAAGGUAGAACAGCUCUCAUGUCGCAACGGGAGCACGCAAGAUCGGAGCUGGAAACGAAGAAAGCGCGCAAGAAAUCCGCGGAGGAGGAGCUCAAGUGCCUCGAGGUGGACGCCACGAUCCAGUCGCGACAGGUGGAAAAUAUUGCCGAUUGAAAUAUCUCCUUUCUUUCGCAGACAAGACUGGAGAGCAAGCACCUGGAGAUUGCCAAUACGAGAUCACUGCUGGAAGAACUCAAGGUAGGAGAAUCUCUCAUGAAACUCUCUUGCUCUAAUCACCAUUGCGAUCGAUCAAUCGCAAGGAGGUGCAAGACAGAUCCAGGGACCAAUUCAUUCAAGACUUGCUUUAGCUGAAUGCUAUCAUUCGCCAGCUCUAUUGUUGCGAAUUGUGUGUGAAGCUUAUAAACAAUGUUAUGGGGGUUUAGUAAA